rnacentral:rRNA from 1 species
CACGUGAGGGCGCAAGCGUUGUCCGGAAUUAUUGGGCGUAAAGAGCUACGUAGGUGGUUUGUUACGUCCGCUGUGAAAUCCGUAGGGCUUAACCCUGGGCUUGCAGUGGAUACGGGCAGACUAGAGGUAGGUAGGGAGAAUGGAAUUCCUGGUGUAGCGGUGAAAUGCGCAGAUAUCAGGAGGAACACCGGUGGCGAAGGCGGUCUCUGGGCCUUACCUGACACUGAGGAGCGAAAGCGUGGGGAGCGAACAGG